GGUCUCUGAGACACUACAGUAUGCAUCAGCAGUCAACCUGAUUAGCUUCAUGGUCAAAGAACAAGAUGACCUAGUCUAGUACCAAAAUGUUUUGAGGCAGACUUCCACAAAUCUCAAACUUCCUCAUGCCCAUAAUGAAUUAUUUGAGCCUUCUCAUUUUUAUAACUUCCAAACUACUCCUUUGGAAUAUUUAAACUAACUAGAUGAGAUUUCAAAGUGCUUUAAAAUGUUUUUAUAAGCUUGAGGAAUUAUUCCUGGAAAUAUUACUGACUUUUCAGCUAGUUCUCAAAUUUAUUAGCUUGGACAAUUCAUUUGUCACUCUUAUAUAGUUAUUUAAUGCUGCUCAGUAGCUGAGUUAAUUUGUCACAUAUACAUGGUUAUUUAAUGCGGCUUGCUGGCACGGUUAAUGUGCUACCUGCAUGUGAAUAUUUAAUGCUCAAGAGUGGUAGGUAUUGUACAAUUUUAAAUUAAGUUAAUUAGUGUGGAAAAUGGCAUGGAAGUUUCAGGCAAAUAUCACCUUUUUCUGUUUCCAGUUAUAAAAUUUGGCAUCAGUGUUGGUGGUUUUUCUUCAUAAACUAUUUGUCAUAACUGACCUCAGAACAGAACAUGAGGAACCUGCUAUAGUUUCUGUGUGGUGUCUUUAUCUUAACUUGCUCAAUCUACCUGAACUUACUGGCCAACAUAAGUUCCUCUCCAAUGUGUAUAGAGGCUUUUGCAUUGUCAGACCUCAGCAAGGUUACGUCCUAGGUCUUGAGGAAUUGGCUGCCCACCCAUGUAUGUACUCCUGGAAUGUUUAGGCUCCAAGUUGCAGAGUAAUGAAUAAGAAACCAAAGCAUGCUUUUCUGUCCUUUUUAACUUGGACAUUUUUUUAAAAAAUAAAUGUAAAACUAAUGGACGAGAGAGGGAGAAAUUUCUUGUCUAUGCCCAUCCACCCACUGUACUCUUUCAGAAACUGCUCCAGAGAACUGGAAGACCAUCUGAAGGAAAUGAUCAGGAGACACAGUGGUACAGACAACUGCUAUAGAAGGAAGAGAGAAGGAGAAUGAAAAAACCAUGCUACAAAUGGGAGCUGCAAAUCCCAGCAUAACUAGUGGUGACGAAUGCUGGGGAGUGCAUCUGGAGCAUCUGGAGAUCCUUUGCUUUAGUUGUGUACUACAUAUAAUUUAAUGUACCUUGUAGAUGAAUUUAAAACACUGUUUUUUUUAAAAUCUUUUUAUUAGUUCUGCUUUACUUAUUUUAGUUUGACAUUUUAUUGAAAAUUAUUGACUGAUUGCAUUGUCUGCUUUUGAAGUGGCCUUCUGUCCACAGAAGCUUAUGUCAAAUAAAUAUGUUGGUCUGUAA